CACGUAGGGCGCGAGCGUUGUCCGGAAUUAUUGGGCGUAAAGAGCUCGUAGGCGGCCUGUUGCGUCCGCUGUGAAAGCCCGGGGCUUAACCCCGGGUCUGCAGUGGAUACGGGCAGGCUAGAGGUAGGUAGGGGAGAAUGGAAUUCCCGGUGUAGCGGUGAAAUGCGCAGAUAUCGGGAGGAACACCGGUGGCGAAGGCGGUUCUCUGGGCCUUACCUGACGCUGAGGAGCGAAAGCGUGGGCAGCGAACAGG
rnacentral:rRNA from 1 species